rnacentral:rRNA from 1 species
UAGGGAAUCUUGCACAAUGGGCGAAAGCCUGAUGCAGCAACGCCGCGUGAAGGAUGAAGGCCUUCGGGUUGUAAACUUCUGUUCUAAGGGAAGAAACAAAUGACGGUACCUUAGGAGCAAGCCCCGGCUAACUACGUGCCAGCAGCCGCGGUAAUACGUAGGGGGCAAGCGUUAUCCGGAAUUAUUGGGCGUAAAGAGUGCGUAGGUGGUUACCUAAGCGCAAGGUUUAAUUUAGAGGCUCAACCUCUACUUGCCUUGCGAACUGGGCUACUUGAGUGCAGGAGGGGAAAGCGGAAUUCCUAGUGUAGCGGUGAAAUGCGUAGAUAUUAGGAGGAACACCAGCGGCGAAGGCGGCUUUCUGGACUGUAACUGACACUGAGGCACGAAAGCGUGGGUAGCAAACAGGAUUAGAUACCCUGGUAGUCCACGCCGUAAACGAUGAGCACUAGGUGUUGGGCCCGUUAGGGCUCAGCGCCGCAGUUAACGCAAUAAGUGCUCCGCCUGGGGAGUACGCUCGCAAGAGUA